rnacentral:lncRNA from 1 species
GACAAUCAGAGGUCACGUUCGUGGCCAUCUUGGUUUUGGUGGGAUUUGGCUGGCUUCUUUACCACAUGCUGUUUUAUCAGCAAGGUCUCUGUGACCUGUACAGAUAUUAAUGCAAUUUUUAAAGAAUAUUUUGGAUCUUCAGUUGAUUGAAUUCACAGACACAGAACCCACGGAUACAGACGGCCCACUGGACUAAUAAUUGCCCCAGAAUGAAAAGGUAUCAUCCUUCGAUGUGUGCAGCAUACAAAGCCCUAGACACUGCGUUAUAUGUGAGCUCCCUGUUUUUUUUGAGCAGACCGAUAGACUCUCUUGUGACUACAGCUCCAGAUUUCAAGCAACUGAAAAGCUAAGUAACAGGAUCUGUCAGGAGGAUGUUUACAGGUUUAAGCCAUGUUGUCAAUACGUAGAAAAUAAAGUGAGAUUCAGACAAACUAAAACACAAAACCACCCUAGAACCUGCAAAAAGGAGAAAUGCUUUCAUGUCUUCAUAUUAAGUCCAUUGUAUUAUAGUCCGUUUUAAUCAAUAUUGGAUUCAUUUUGGAUCUUAUUAAUAUGAUCACAAUUGUCUUUACUUCUACUUUUCCUGAGCUCCACUUUAUUCACUCUUUCAUUUGUCUACCUACACUGAAAAGACUGAGUAAUUAAUUCAUCUCUAGACUCUCCUAAACAAGGCAGCAUUAAUGAGUCAGCUUUGCUGUUAUUUCCUCAUAACUCUUUGCCACAAAGAAGGGAAUCCCAUGUCCUUGGCUUCGUACUCCCCUACACUAAUUUCCCUCUUUAUUCUAACUCGUGGAAGGCAAUUUGGUCCUAAUUCUAACAGAUAAAUUGACUGCCAUAACCAAAGACUGGUUAAGAUCUGGUAGGGAUAUAAAGACUUUGAAAAUAACUUUACAUUUUAUUAACUGAUGGUACUCUGAAACUGUGGUUUGAUCACUAAACACUGUGGCAUUUGUAAGUCUUAGACCCAGAUACUGCCAACCAAGAAAAACUAAGCAUCUGUGACAUUGACUUUGUAGAUUAUCCUCCCCAAACUGUGCCCAUCGAAUCUGUAUUAAAAGUUGUAAAAAUAAGACAACCAGAUGGAGCAUUUCUAAGCAUAUGAUUUACAAAAUACCUCUCUGUCUGAAAAAGGUCACUACUCUUCAGAAGCAAUGAAAACCAGGGAGAAAAGGUAUCUCCGGGGUGUUUGGGCUGGCACAGGGCUUUUCACGGUGUAUGUACAGCAAAUGCACAAAGGGAAGAAGUUUUUAGAGUUCCCAGAUUCCCAAACUGCCUCUGCAAUCACAAGCAAUAAUGCUUGCGGUGGUCACAACAAUAAUGCUUUAUUCUCCUUAUCUCUCACCCCUCCAGGUCCUCUCAGCUGGAACCACUGAUGCAGCCUUGGCCUACCUCAGUUCCCAAGUUAAGGGUGACAGAAGCAGCCUGCAUCAAUAGCCCUGCUUGAGCCCCUCAGACCAAUUUGAAAGAUAUCUCUGAACACAGUGUGGAGAAGGGACUGGAAAUAGAGGAACUGCAAGCAAGAAAGAACAUCAGUAAAGAGGCUCCUGCAAUAGUUUGGGCAAGACAUGAUGCUGGCUGAAGGCAAGGAGGAUGGCAAAGAAGGGUAAAUUGAACAGUCACUCUUAGGAGACAAAAUGAAUGGGGCUUUGCUACUGAGUGGAUGCGAGAACCGAGUGAAGCAGAGAAGAAUUAGAGAUGGCACCCAGAUUUCUAACUUAGACAAUGAGGGUUCCCAAAUGGCUCAGUUUCCUUAACAGCUCAAAGAGGAGGAAGAAG